rnacentral:lncRNA from 1 species
UUAGAGUGUUACGUAAUUUAUGGACGACCCCUAAAAAAUAUUAACGAAAGUGCUUGAAAUUUUAUCUCGUGAAGUCUCGUGAAAUUCUGAGUCUGCAGGGUGUCUGCUAAAACAGGCUGGCCAAAAAUCAGUACAUUUACAGUACUUUUUCAGUACAUAUUUUCAUGAAAUUCAGUACCUCCUCAACAGAAAAUUCACCACUUUUACAAUACCUUCGACUGACGAAAUUCGAAAAAUUUCAAAAAUUUGAAUUUCCCGCUCAAAUUGCGACAAAAAUGAAAAAAAUUCCGGACUUUCUUGCAAAAUUUCCGCACUUUUUCAGUGCUUCCCGACCGCCCUUAAAAAAUCAGUACUAUUUCUGGACUUUUAGGAAAUUCCAGACUUGUAAACACCCUGGUCUCUGAUUGGAAUCUCUGUGUUUCAGUGGGCUCAGCACAAUGAAUGAUCAGAGGCAUUCAUUGGUUGUUCUACUAAAAAGUAAAAAGCCCGGAAAUUUUCUUCCACUUGCAUAAUUUUCCGCUCGAGAAACUUGACAAUUACACUUGACUUUCACACUUGAGAUGCACGUUUUGUGUGCGACGAGUUACAAUGACAGACAACGAAGGGGCCAGACUCUUUUCCUCGGAAAGAGACCGGAUAAUCCCAUGCUUAAAUAAUCACGGAGACAAACAAGAGAAGACAAAUAUGCUGUUGAGAAUUUAUUCCACAGGAACAAGCCUGUUAAAUAGGACGACGUAAUCCUCGUCAAUAAACCUUACCUCACCGAUAACGUGAUUUAUUGGCCUCUAUGACUUCGAGAAAGCGGGAAAUCAAAUGACAGAACACUUGACGACAACUUACGAAUCAACUAACAUGGGUAUGAGAGAUUUUAAGUAUAUCAUCUCCUGAGGUAUGCGUAUAGCAUUAUGUUUUUCAAAGAUCAAGAAAAAUUGGUUAUGGAAUAUUGGCGUCUAUGACUUCGAGAAAGCGGGAAAUCAAAUGAAAGAACACUUGAAGAAAACUUACGAAUCAACUAACAUACGUAAGUAUGAGAGAUUUAAAGUAUAUCAUCUCCUGAGGUAUUUGUAUAGCAUUACAUAUAUAUUUUUCAAAGCUCAUGAAAAAAUAGCAAUCUUAUAUGGUGCUUGUACGCACCAGUUAAAAUCUCAGAUUGCAAGCCUUUAUUUUUACCNNNNNNNNNNNNNNNCACCGCACCGAGAGGGGAUCCAAACGUGGAUGGUCCGGCGAAGGGUUAGUGCUUACUCGCGGCGGCGACGCGACUGCUCGCGGGGUGACGUAUGCUUCCAUUGGCGGGAAAGUGCGUGCGAGGUGGGCGCGCGCUUCGUCGGAUAG